rnacentral:rRNA from 1 species
AUUGAACUCUGGCGGCAGGCUUAACACAUGCAAGUCGAGCUGAGCGAGGGUGCUUGCACCUUAGCUUAGCGGCGGACGGGUGAGUAAUGCUUAGGAAUCUGCCUAUUAGUGGGGGACAACAUUCCGAAAGGAAUGCUAAUACCGCAUACGUCCUACGGGGGAAAGCAGGAGAGCUUCGGACCUUGCGCUAAUAGAUGAGCCUUAGUCUGAUUAUCUAGUUGGUGGGGUAAAGUCCUACCAAGGCGACGAUCUGUAGCGGGUCUGAGAGGAUGAAACUGCAGACUGGGAAUGAGACAAGGCCCAGGCUACUAAGGGAGGCAGCAAUGGGGAAUAUUGGACAAUGGGCAGAAGCCUGAUCCAUCCAUGCCGCGUGAGCGAAGAAGGCCUUUUGGUUGUAAAGCACUUUAAGCGAGGAGGGGGCUACUAGUAUUAAUACUACUGGAUAGUGGACGUUACUCGCAGAAUAAGCACCGGCUAACUCUGUGCCAGCCGCCGCUGUAACAC